ensembl:lncRNA
CCUCCGGCGGGGAGAGGCUGAGGCUUUGCACUCAGAAGCCCUGCCUCCUCCCUCCCCCUCUGUCCCUGUCUGCACAGUGCACCUCUGCCGCUCGCCGUCUCGCUCGCGCUCUCACGCACUCGCGGCGCCCAUCACCCCCGCGCCGGGCGCUGCCGGUCGCGCCCCGCUCGCUCCCCGCCGGCGCGCUGGGGGACCCGGUGACGUCACGGGCCGCGCGCUACCCGCGCUCGCUCGCUCGCCGCCCUGUAACUUCUGUUCUGGGAAGUGGUGCCAGGAAUAACCCAGCCUGUCUGCAGAUCACAGAGGCUCCCUCCCUCCGCGGCCAGAAAAAAACUGCGGCUCCCCGGGCCUCUGCCUCUCCCGUGUAAAACUGAGCCUCACCACUGUUACUGUUGUUAUUUUUUUUCCUUCAGAAAGAGGGAGAGAAAUGAUCUACCUUAAGAUAAAUACAUGAAACAGACGCCCCUUGGCUGCUGGAAUAUCUCUGUCUUUAUAUAAAGAAAUACCGCGAGCCACCUCACUCCAGGCAAGCCCUUAGCAAAGGAGCAACAAGAGCGCCCAGCGGGAUCAACAACAACAACAAGGGCACCGAGAGGGCUUUCCUCCUUCCUCCUCGGAGACUUUCCAGGUGGGACCCUCUUCUAGUAUGUGAUCUACAGCGAGCUACACUGAAUCAUACGAUGACAAUGUUAUCACUGCCACAUCUCUGGGAACUUGUUAUUCAUAAUUAUAUGGACUGUCUACUUAAGAAGCUCAGAGUGAGUUAGAAACAUUGAUGAAGCCUCUAUUCUGUGAGGUGGAGGAGUGUGUGAACAGCCAUAUUCGCUGGAGUAGUGAACCAACUUGCCUUGACUGGAACCAUUAUUCACUUGCACCUUUGACAUCAGCAGCCAGAGACCAAAAAAAAAUCAAGACUUGUUUCAUGAAUCUAACAGCUUCAAUUUUACCUGUAUACAACGUAUGCUUCAUGUUUUCACCAUGCAGCCACCGACAACUCUAUAAUAGCUGGCAGUGCGUUAACAUGCUGAAUAGUGGAUGGACACAGUCCUUGAAAUCCUCUGGCACUACAUGCAGCCAAUUCUACUUAAAGUACAAAGCCUUUGACUAUACUGCAUACUGACUAUCUGGAAGAUUUGGUGAUCGUAGCUGGUGGCAUACACAGAGCACCAUUCCCUGCUGCCCCCAGGGGAAACCUGUGCCCCAGAAGGAGAUGGUGGGGUACCAGAGAGCAUACUGCGUGAGCACCAUUGCACUGGAGGCAGCUGUCUACAGGAGGCUAAAGACUGGUGCAGAGUUCCUCAUCUCACGCACACAGGAAGCAGCUUGGCAGGUGUCUGACUUUCCUUCGGGCACUCUCUUCUGUGCUUCUCAGAAAGUCACUGGAGUUGUGGUUAAAUGCUACAGCCUAAACUUUUACUUGCUCAGGGACCAAAUGGGAGCUAAAUGGCUUUAAAACAUUAGUUCCAUUUUAAGCAUCUCUGCCGUGGGACGAAGGGUUGUUGAUUCAAAACCAUGUUAUAUCUUCCAAAUGAAUGACUCUCAGUGAAAACCAUAGGCUACCCUUGCAUACAGUAGAGUAAAGUGCCAGUGUAUUAGUGAAAUAGGUAAGUGCAAAAGUCCUCGUUUAUCUCUUUUUGCUCCUUUCAUAGGAUUCUUUCUAUUUCCCUUUCCCUGUGCCUCUAUCACCACUUUGUUUCUGCCAUCAUAAUUUUAAUUGGGUAUCCUGAUUCAGAUUGCCGAACGUUGACUGCUGGAUCUGAACCUUCUCACUUCUGGAAGGAAGGGAAGAACAACCUGUGCAGUAUUCAGUUGCCUUUAAAACGAAAGCUGCUUUCUGAGAGAGGACCUUAGCCAAGAGAACGGCUCAGUUCUCACCAGAGGGUGCUGUACCGCUCUCCCAGUCCCUCACAGUUCGGUUUCCUGGGCUGUUUAGCUGUCUGAACAGUGGUGAAGAUAAAGACAAAAGAUCUUAAUUGAAAGAAGAAGGGGCACUGAGAUUCCAGCUUUGUUGCUGAUUUUUCUGUUGAUUAUCAUGUCUUUUUGUUUGUCCCUUUGGAAGUAAUUCUGUGUUGCUUGGUUCAGAUUCUGCUGUUCCUUGUAUGCAAGGUAUGGUUUUACUUACUAGAAAUAAAUCAAUGUCUUCUGAUCCUC